rnacentral:rRNA from 1 species
UACGUAGGUGGCAAGCGUUAUCCGGAAUUAUUGGGCGUAAAGCGCGCGCAGGCGGUUUCUUAAGUCUGAUGUGAAAGCCCACGGCUCAACCGUGGAGGGUCAUUGGAAACUGGGGAACUUGAGUGCAGAAGAGAAAAGCGGAAUUCCACGUGUAGCGGUGAAAUGCGUAGAUAUCAGGAGGAACACCGGUGGCGAAGGCGGCUACCUGGACAGAAACUGACGCUGAGGCACGAAAGCUAGGGGAGCAAACAGG